rnacentral:rRNA from 1 species
GACGAACGCUGGUGGCACGCUUAACACAUGCAAGUCGAACGAGAGAAGAGAAGCUUGCUUUUCUGAUCUAGUGGCGGACGGGUGAGUAACACGUGAGCAAUCUGCCUUUCAGAGGGGGAUACCGAUUGGAAACGAUCGUUAAUACCGCAUAACAUAAUUGAACCGCAUGAUUUGAUUAUCAAAGAUUUAUCGCUGAAAGAUGAGCUCGCGUCUGAUUAGCUAGUUGGUAAGGUAACGGCUUACCAAGGCGACGAUCAGUAGCCGGACUGAGAGGUUGAUCGGCCACAUUGGGACUGAGACACGGCCCAGACUCCUACGGGAGGCAGCAGUGGGGAAUAUUGCACAAUGGAGGAAACUCUGAUGCAGCGAUGCCGCGUGAGGGAAGAAGGUUUUAGGAUUGUAAACCUCUGUCUUCAGGGACGAAAAAAGACGGUACCUGAGGAGGAAGCUCCGGCUAACUACGUGCCAGCAGCCGCGGUAAUACGUAGGGAGCGAGCGUUGUCCGGAAUUACUGGGUGUAAAGGGAGCGUAGGCGGGAUCGCAAGUCAGAUGUGAAAACUAUGGGCUUAACCCAUAAACUGCAUUUGAAACUGUGGUUCUUGAGUGAAGUAGAGGUAAGCGGAAUUCCUAGUGUAGCGGUGAAAUGCGUAGAUAUUAGGAGGAACAUCAGUGGCGAAGGCGGCUUACUGGGCUUUAACUGACGCUGAGGCUCGAAAGCGUGGGGAGCAAACAGGAUUAGAUACCCUGGUAGUCCACGCCGUAAACGAUGAUUACUAGGUGUGGGGGGACUGACCCCUUCCGUGCCGCAGCAAACGCAAUAAGUAAUCCACCUGGGGAGUACGACCGCAAGGUUGAAACUCAAAGGAAUUGACGGGGGCCCGCACAAGCAGUGGAGUAUGUGGAUUAAUUCGAAGCAACGCGAAGAACCUUACCAGGUCUUGACAUCGUAUGCAUAGCUCAGAGAUGAGUGAAAUCUCUUCGGAGACAUAUAGACAGGUGGUGCAUGGUUGUCGUCAGCUCGUGUCGUGAGAUGUUGGGUUAAGUCCCGCAACGAGCGCAACCCUUACUGUUAGUUGCUACGCAAGAGCACUCUAGCAGGACUGCCGUUGACAAAACGGAGGAAGGUGGGGAUGACGUCAAAUCAUCAUGCCCCUUAUGACCUGGGCCUCACACGUACUACAAUGGCUGUCAACAGAGGGAAGCAAAGCCGCGAGGUGGAGCGAACCCCUAAAAGCAGUCUUAGUUCGGAUUGUAGGCUGCAACCCGCCUACAUGAAGUCGGAAUUGCUAGUAAUCGCAGAUCAGCAUGCUGCGGUGAAUACGUUCCCGGGCCUUGUACACACCGCCCGUCACGCCAUGGGAGUCGGUAACACCCGAAGCCUGUAGUCUAACCGCAAGGAGGACGCAGUCGAAGGUGGGAUUGAUGACUGGGGUG